UUAUUUUAAUUCAUAAAAUUAAUUUUAUUGAUUAUAAGAAAGAUGGUAUAAUACGGUGUAGAAACAGUGAAGUUUAGUCAAAACAAUUUUUGAACGAAAAAGUCUGUUGGUAGGCCUACUUAAAAAGUAUUAGUUUGAGCUUCUAAGUCAUUUUCUAGAUGAAUUUUAAUGAAAUAUACCUCCUUGGUCUUUCAUUUUUUAAAAUACUUGUAAGGGUAUAAAUUGACAAUAUUAUGUUAACGGUACAAGCAUUGAUUUACAACUGAAAGUAAUAUAUUUAGUGUAACCUUGUAAACAUUUUUCUAUAAAACAAAACACUUCACAACAAGGGCACGGAACCAGGCAUAUAGAUUCAGAUGUGAAAGCGCUGUAUGCUACACAGUUUGGCCAUUAUAGACUCACAUCAGGGCCGGCCUUAGGAAGUUGGAGGCCCUAUGCGAAGAGUAUAGGGUAGCCAAAAUGAAAUAGAAAACAAAAAACUAAAACCAAAAAAUAUGCAAUGAUUUAAAAACCUUCCUGAUUUAUACCUAAAUCAACAAAUAAGCUACACUGAUAUAUUGCUGAUAGCAUUCUAAAAUGAAGAGUAGAAUUAUCAUUCUAACUUUUCACCAAACAAUGGUCUUCUAACAUAGGUAGUCUAACUAGUAGAUCUAAACAAUGGUCUUCUAACAUAGGUAGUCUAACUAGUAGAUCUAAACAAUGGUCUUCUAACAUAGGU